UACGAGGGGGGCGAGCGUUGUUCGGAAUUACUGGGCGUAAAGCGUGCGCAGGCGGCGCGUUAAGACAGGUGUGAAAGCCCCGAGCUUAACUUGGGAAUUGCGCUUGUGACUGGCGUGCUGGAGUGUGGCAGAGGGAGGUGGAAUUCCACGUGUAGCAGUGAAAUGCGUAGAGAUGUGGAGGAACACCGAUGGCGAAGGCAGCCUCCUGGGCCAGCACUGACGCUCAUGCACGAAAGCGUGGGGAGCAAACAGG
rnacentral:rRNA from 1 species